rnacentral:hammerhead_ribozyme from 1 species
AUCCAGCUGAUGAGUUUCAAAUAGGACGAAACGCGCGUUCUCGAU